rnacentral:rRNA from 1 species
GCUGACCUUAACACCAAAUGCCAAAAAAGUACAAUAACUAAAACUUAAAAGACCUGGCGGUGCCUAAAACCGUCCUAAAGGAGCCUGUUUUAUAAUCGAUAGUCCACGUUAGACCUCACCCGCUUUAGCACAGAUCCAGCCUAUAUACCGCCGUCGACAGCCCAUCUUCCAAGAGAUGGCGCACCAACCGAGAGCCACUCCCAAAACGACAGGUCAAGGUGUAGCUGAUAAGCAGGCAAUAAAUGAGCUACACUACUCAACAGGCACGGAACUCAAUGCUGAAACAGCAUGAAAAAAGAAGGAUUUAGCAGUAAGAGAGAUAAGUGUGUCUCUCUGAACACGACAUUUAGGCAUGC